CAUCAAUUGUAGUUAGAAAUGGCUAUGGGACACAGUUCUAGCCAAUAAUAAUUAAGCAGCAUUUUUUCAUGUGGCUACCAGGAAGCAACUUCAAAUGGAAUAGAAUCAGUUGAUACACAGUAAGUUAGGAUUGUCCUCUUUGCUUUCCUCUUCUCUCUGAUUGAAGUGCAGCUAUGACAGCAGGAGCUGCAGCAGACAUAUUACAACUGAAAAUGAAAGAAAAUCUAAAGAACUUCAAAAAUCCAUCUGGACAUUCUUGAGCUGUUCCACAAACUACGGUCUGACUAUCCCAGAACUUCUUGGUCAUUUGAAAGGAUCAUAAAACACUAAGCCACUAUUAUUUGGAUUGUUUUGAUAUAUGCAGCGAAACCCAAACUCUGUUAGAGCUUCCCUUUUCUUACGGGUUGAAACAAAUCUGUAAAAAAAUAUUCUAUCGAGUUCAGCUUGUUGCUACUUUGAAGCUAAGGAAAGCCUCAAAAUAUCUGACCUAAGAAGAAACUAAUCAGCUUCUUCUUCUCACGUGGCAUUUUUUCAACAGAAGAGAGAGAUAAUUUAAUACAAGAUAUAUCAUCAUCAAAUUCUGGGCCCUUGCUCAAGGAAAAUCUGAGUAGGUCAAGCACCGGCACUGGUCCACAGACUACAAGUUGAAUAAAACAGCUAUUGCAAUAUCUUAGUCAGCUAGAGCUGCUAUAACAAAGUGCCCCAGGCAGGGUGACUUAACAGAAACGUAUUUCUCACAGUUCUGGAUACUAGAAGUCCAAGAUCAAGCUGUCGGUGACAGUUCAAGGCAUCUGGCACAUACAACCUGAUAUUUACAAUCAGUUCCACUAAUGGCUGCUUCAGUAAGUCUACUCUUGUUGAUAAUAUUUCAGAAAAUGAAUGAUGGUCAGACUACUUAAAAUUGCAUUUGCAACCAACAAAUAAGUAUUUGAAAGCCUUGCUGCAAGCUAUGUACACUGAGAGGCCCUUUGAAGAAAAUAUAGCCACUCAGAAAGUCUUUCUUAAGUAUUUACAAUCCUUUUUUGA